UCUUUUGUUAAAAAUGUUCAGGACGCCUGGUUUACCCGCGGAAGACAACACAGGCCAGCAACUGGCUUUCUGGAGGAGCGUCUCCGUAAUGUAAGGAAAAGGCAUCAACCAAGGAAGAAGAUGCUUUCAGCCCCAGAAGCUCCACCAAAAAGAUCAAGUUUGCCUGAACCAACCAUCAGUGCUGAGCGUGCCAUCCAGAUGACAGAAUGGCUAAAAAAUAACUUCUGGCCCGCAGACCAGGUUGUCCAAUACAUGCGGGAAACUGCAGUAUAUCGCGCAGGAUGGAUCCGCUCAAGUGGGACAAUCCCAAUGCAGCAGAUUUUUGCAGAGUUCCCACGUUUGUUGGACACACCAGGGAUGAUUUUGCAGGACUUUGCCGUUUUAUAUCCACAGUCUUGUGGAAAACUGACAGAGAACUGGAACACCUUGUUCUCAUCAAAGGUCAUUCGCAUGGGGAAUUAGGAGGAGAGCGGUCUUCUGCCUGAGAUUGAGUUGCUUCCACAAGACAAACAAGGUGACGUGGCACUGCAGCUGCUGCCAAAACUCCUCCCUGCUGUUCCCUACAGAGUUGGGCGAAAGGUGGUCAGAACCAGCAACCUUGAAGUCCAGCAAGCCUUCAUUGAUGUCCAGCCAAUUGGGACAAAUAUGGUGGAAUAUCUUGA